rnacentral:rRNA from 1 species
AGUGAACGCUGGCGGUAGGCCUAACACAUGCAGGUCGAACGGCAGCACAGUAAGAGCUUGCUCUUACGGGUGGCGAGUGGCGGACGGGUGAGGAAUACAUCGGAAUCUACUUUUUCGUGGGGGAUAACGUAGGGAAACUUACGCUAAUACCGCAUACGACCUACGGGUGAAAGCAGGGGAUCUUCGGACCUUGCGCGAUUGAAUGAGCCGAUGUCGGAUUAGCUAGUUGGCGGGGUAAAGGCCCACCAAGGCGACGAUCCGUAGCUGGUCUGAGAGGAUGAUCAGCCACACUGGAACUGAGACACGGUCCAGACUCCUACGGGAGGCAGCAGUGGGGAAUAUUGGACAAUGGGCGCAAGCCUGAUCCAGCCAUACCGCGUGGGUGAAGAAGGCCUUCGGGUUGUAAAGCCCUUUUGUUGGGAAAGAAAAGCAGCAGGUUAAUACCCCGCUGUCCUGGCGGUACCCAAAGAAUAAGCACCGGCUAACUUCGUG